CAACUUAUUUUUAUAAAGUACAUAAUAGAUAAUGUGGCUAAAUUGAGACAGGUUAUGCUUCCACCACUGUGUGCAUAUUGCAGUGGUGACAAUGAGACCUGUAACAUUU
ensembl:snoRNA